rnacentral:rRNA from 1 species
GACGAACGCUGGCGGCGUGCCUAAUACAUGCAAGUCGAACGCAGUUGCGAACGGGUGAGUAACGCGUAGGUAACUGCCUCAUAGCGGGGGAAAACUAUUGGAAACGAUAGCUAAUACCGCAUACUGUGAGAUGGACCUGCGUUGUAUUAGGUAGUUGGUGAGGUAAAGGGUCACCAAGGCGACGAUACAUAGCCGACCUGAGAGGGUGAUCGGCCAAACUGGGACUGAGAACAGGCCCCGACUUCCAACGGAGGCAGGAGUAGGGGAUCAUCGGCAAUGGGCGGAAGGCCGACCGAGCAACGCCGCGGGAGAUAAGGAGGUUUUCGGAGCGUAAAGCUCUGUUGUGAGAGAAGCGGUAACGAACGAGAAAGGAACGGCUAACUACGUGCCAGCAGCCGCGGUAAUAC